CUAGGAGCUCAUCGAUAAUAAGAGGCCCCAUUUUCCGAGCCGGAGCUCAGAUCAGAAAAUAGAGGCGGCGAAGAAACUCCUCACUCACUGCUUCAAUCUCGGCAUCUCUGCUCUUCGCUCUUCCCUUCCUGCCAUCGAUGCCGUCGAACUCGUUGUGCGAGAACUAAAAACAGAUCCGACAUUCAAUUCGGGACUUGGAUCGGCGUUAACAGAGAAAGGGACUGUAGAGAUGGAGGCGAGCAUUAUGGAUAGGAGCAAGAGGAGAUGUGGAAUCGGCACUACCAAAGGAGAGGUAUUUUUAGAUAGAGUUCACUGUUAUCACUCAAAGAUUUCUCUCGAUUUUGGAAUCGGCACUAUCGGAGGAGAGAGGAGCUUCUCUCCUCUCUUCCGAGCAAUUCGUUGUCGUCGAUCACCAUAAUCUGUUCUAUAGAUCAAGAGAUUUGAGACCAUCUAAAAGAGAAAAGCCAAAAUUGCCCAGAAAAAAAGAAUAGUUGAAUUCAGGGUUUCCUUGUCGAUAUGGAGCAAGAGAGCCAGUCACAGAAAGAAUUGCAUAUCUUUAUUCAUCCAAUUGAAAUAUCUUGCAUCUUUACUCUCACAGAAAGAUAAAUCAACCAAUUCCAUUAAAACAGAAAGGAAAAAAGAAAAACAUGAAUCUGACGAGAGAGUCAUCAAUGGCAAGAGAGAAGUAUUCCAUAAAAAUCCAAAACUCCAUAUGCUGCAAAAUAUUCUCUCUACUAGAAGUUGUUAAUCAGACAAAUAUUCCAUGUGUUUCUCCCAAUCCUCCCUCUACCUUGGACCAAUCUGUAACUUCAAUCUCUUUAUCGAGACAUGCUGAUACCUAAGUAGAUACGAAUAAAAUAUGGAACUCAAACUCCAGGGUUUGCACGGCAGAGCAUACCCUGAGAUAGCAAUCUCGAGCUACUCGAGUCAAUGCAGAGACAAGACAUGAGACACGGCGAAGAAACUGCGUUAUGUAACGGAAGGAGUGAUUGGACACAACGCACCUCAGAAGGUAACCUUGAAAAGGUAAGAGACGAGAAACAAGUUCACGUUGAAGGAACGGGCUUGCUGUUGGGUUUAUUCAUGGCCGAUUUCAGGAAAUUGAGAGUAGGUCUUGAGAAAGAUCGACAUCCAGACGCCAUGAGAAGACGGAGAGGGGCCCUGGUGGUUGGAGAGGCCAUCCAGCAACACCUGAACUAUCGAUGGCUACAAUCGUCGCUGCCCUGCAACUGUCGGCCAACGCUGCAAUCGCUCUCUCUCUCUCUUCUGUUCGUUUAAGUUUUAAAAAAUAUUUUUUUAACAGAUUGGGUCGGAUCGGCCGAUCUGGAUCUAUAUUCGAUACCCAAAAUGAUACCGAUACCCGUCUCAGGAUCGGUCAGGUGUUGGGAUCGAUCUCAGCCGAUACCAAUCCGAUACAGCCGAUCCGGCCAAUCCGAUACCAAUACUUGAUUGCAUGGAUUGGAUACAUUUAUAAUGGAUUUGGAUGUUGGAUUUAUAGGUUCCAUAGAAAUUUGAAGUAUGUGUGUGGCAUUUUCAUUGAUCCCAUUGGUGGUCCUAUAUAUGCUAAGCUAUUUCAUCAAUUGAAUAAAGAUUUGAUGCAUUAUAACA